UGUAUGAUCUCGCGCUCUGACCUCAUGCGCUCCAGAUGUCUCCCCGCUUUUUAUCUCGACGAAACGAGAGCUCGGUUUGCACAGAGCGACAUGAUUGACAUAAUAGAACUAAUCUGCUCUGGCCCUCCCAUUUGACUCCCUGUGUCAAUAUUGGAUGAGAGGAAAGUGCCGUGUGACAGGUGUCCAGGACAGAGUUCCGCGCGCUGAAGACGGAGAGCAGAUCAAUGCAUUUACCCGCGUGCGCACUAAAUACACCGACACUGCUAUAUAAAGCCAAAGGCCUCAGAUCAGUGUGCAUUUUAGCGGUACUAUUAAAACACUACUGAUUCGCUGAAUGACACGGAGAGAAGACAAGUCAUCACCAGAAACGUAACGAAUAAAUUGACGUCCAGGAUGGAUGUUUUGUGUUUUCUGUACUUGUCUCACGUUGAGCCACGCGCACAAUACCUGCAGAUGAAAAGGUUUUGUUCGUUCGGCUCGCGUUACGCAGAUGCAGACACGCGUCAGUGAAACACCACAGCAGCGGGUCUCUUCAGCCCUCUUCACCGAGGCUUUCCAUUUUACAACAAGUAAUAAUACAACGCCAUUAAUAUGCUGAUUAACUAUAAAGAAUGCUUAAGCUGUGACAUAAGAAGACAAAGGAUAGGCUAUAAAUGUCAUAUGUCUUAAUUUCAUAGCCUAUUUAUUUAUUUGGAAUUUAGA